rnacentral:rRNA from 1 species
UACAGAGGUCUCAAGCGUUGUUCGGAUUCAUUGGGGCGUAAAAGGGUGCGUAGGCGGCGCGGUAAGUCGGGGUGUGAAAUCUCGGAGCUUAACUCCGAAAACUGCAUUCGAUACUGCCCGUGCUUUGAGGACUGGAGAGGAGACUGGAAUUUACGGUGUAGCGGUGAAAUGCGUAGAUAUCGUAAGGAAGACCAGUGCGAAGGCGGG